rnacentral:rRNA from 1 species
GCCUGCAGCCAUACUACCUUGGGUUGUGAUCUUCGCGUCUCACAGGACAAGCAAGGUCAAACUUGGUCAAUAUUCAAACAGGACACCUACAAAGUAAAUCCAGGUGCUGCAAGUC